CUGGCCUAAUUAGAAACAUGAAAAGGCUACAAGUAUUAGGAAAUAUCCUGAAGGAAUGAGAACAUUAGCAAUUCUGUUGAGCCAUUUUUAAAAUAAGUACACAGUAGCAGCCACAUUUCAGUGAGAGGCAGGGUACUUGAAAGGUGCUUUUAGGAAAACAGUGCUCGUGUGUGUGUAAUAAGAGAUCCGUAAUAGGAGGCAUCGAAAUUGGGUAACAGGCUGACAUGCAUGCUAUUACUGUGUUAAAACACACACUAAUCUUGUUCUGAUCGCUGUUUUUAAAAGAUGCAGGUUAACGUCUUCAAAGUAAAGGAACAAUCAUUGAGGUUGGGUAAAUCCCUGUCAAGAAUAUGUUGACUUCCUGAAAGACAAAUGGAUCUCUGAGGAAAAUAGCUUGCAGGGAAGCAGCACCCAGCGAAGGAUUGCACUGCGUGUUCCCCGGCUUCUCUUCCUCACCUCGGUUUCCCAAGAUUCAGGAGACACAAAUAGACCUCUCAAGAAACUGGUAAAAUGUUUUGUUGCUGUGGAGAGGAUGACUGCACAGGAAGAGAGCCAAGACCUCAGUGACUUGGGCUUCAGGGACUUUGACGCUGAAUCGAAGGGAGAUAUAUUGGAAAAGUGCAUGAAUGAAAAAAAAAGGAACAGAAAGAAAGAAACAAACCUACAACAACAACAACAAUAAAAGGCAUAAAAAUAGAAGACUGAGUAAAGACAACCUAUCUCUAAACAUGUAGAGCAACAUUCACCUAUCAUUUUGUCUCUCAAAGACCUGUGUGGUAUCACAGAAACUUCCCAAGUAAAACUCAGGUCUGCUCAACCCCAAACUGGCCUAG
rnacentral:lncRNA from 1 species